rnacentral:rRNA from 1 species
GCAAGUCGAACGCGAAAGUUUCUCUUCGGAGGAGCGAGUAGAGUGGCAGACGGGUGAGUAACACGUGGGUAACCUACCUCGAGGCGGGGGAUAACAGCUGGAAACGGCUGCUAAUACCGCAUAAGACUACGAAUCUUCGGGUUAGUAGUUAAAGUCUUCGGACACCUUGAGAGGGGCCCGCGUCUGAUUAGCUUGUUGGUAGGGUAAUGGCCUACCAAGGCGACGAUCAGUAGCUGGUCUGAGAGGAUGAUC